UGGCGAUGAUAAAAAUGUACCCGCGCUUCAGAGAGUAAUCUAUGAGGCAAUAAAAGGUUAAUGGUUGAAUUUCUUGAUUUGAGCCG